ensembl:snRNA U4 U4 spliceosomal RNA
AGCUUUGUGCGCUGGCAGCAUCGUAGCCAAUGAGGUUUAUCCGAGUCACAAUUAUUGCUAAUUGGAAUUAGAUACUGUCAUGCCAGUUUGGGUAUAAUGGAUAGGUUUAGGGUUAGAGUUGUGUCUAGGGGCAAAUAUAGGGUGUCAGUUCAUGUACCUGAAUUUUGAUUCAUGCAUAUCAUCUUCAGAGUUAUGA